rnacentral:sRNA from 1 species
AACUAGCCCAGAUCGCAACGGCAUCCUUUUUUGUAGUGAGGGAAUUAGCUUAGGUCAAAAAAAGAUAGAGUGAAGAGCUGGAAAUAGC